rnacentral:rRNA from 1 species
UACGGAGGGGGCGAGCGUUAUUCGGAAUCAUUGGGCGUAAAGGGCGCGUAGGCGGCUUUGUAAGUCUUGGGUGAAAGCCCUCGGCUCAACCGAGGAAUUGCCUUGGAUACUGCGAAGCUCGAGGCUGGAAGAGGACAGUGGAAUUCCAGGUGUAGCGGUGAAAUGCGUAGAUAUCUGGAGGAACACCGGUGGCGAAGGCGGCGUUCUGGACUGCAACUGACACUGAGGAACGAAAGCCAGGGGAGCAAACGGG